rnacentral:rRNA from 1 species
AUUGAACGCUGGCGGCAGGCCUAAUACAUGCAAGUCGAACGCAGUGGGGACGGGUGAGUAACACGUGGGUAACCUCCCAUCAGAGGGGAUAACACUUGGAAACAGGUGCUAAACCGAUACUGAUGGAUGAACCCGCGGUGCAUUAGCUAGUUGGUGAGGUAACGGCUCACCAAGGCCACGAUGCAUAGCAGACCUGAGAGGGUGAGAGGCCACACGGGGACGUAGACACGGCCCAGACGCCUACGGGAGGCAGCAGUAGUGAAUCUUCGGCAAUGGACGAAAGUCUGACCGAGCAACGCCGCGUGAGUGAAGAAGGUUUUCGGAUCGUAAAACUCUGUUGUUAGAGAAGCGGUAUCUAACCAGAAAGCCACGGAUAACUACGUGCCAGCAGCCGCGGUAAUAC